rnacentral:rRNA from 1 species
ACUUUAUAUCAAUUUAAAAUUUUGCCUAAUUAUUUUAUAACGGCCUUAUUAAAAUAUUAUAUUUUGUUGGGGCGACAUAAGCAUAAUUAUUUGUAACUACUUGUAAUACUUCCCAUCUAUAUAUGAAAGUAAAUGAUCCUUAAUAAAGAUUUAAAAAUUAAGUU